rnacentral:lncRNA from 1 species
GGACUGGUCCAGGGGAGAACGGGUGAUCCCUUGUUAGCCGAGAAGACAGAAGAGAAAGCUUGCCAGGGUAACUCAGAAAUACUUUCCUCCCUGAUGGAAGAGGUGCAGAAGGAGAAAGCCCAACACUGUAGCCUCUGUCUUUCACACUAAAUGCUAAAUGUUCGAAUCAACAAUUCUAGAGAAGCUGGAGUCACAGAUUCUAAAGUCAUCAGCCAAUCAUCUUCUCUGCAUGUCAGGCCCCCAGGAACCACUGCAGAGUGGAUGCCACCUGUCCUGUGCUAGAGAGGAGGUGACCUGCGGCACAGCCAGCCAUAGCCAUGGUGUGCCUUCUUCUCAGCAUGGCAGCCAGGUGGAGUGCUUUUGGGCUCAGCUGGGAUCUGAACAGGAACCAGGAACACCAGUGAGAAUUCUACCAGAAAAUCCUCUACUCACCAUCCAUGUGAUCCGCACUUUGAUGUCUCACAAGCAAACAUCCAUUCCACAAAUGUUCAUGGAGCAUCUGGCACUUCUAGGAGGGACAGAACACUACAUGUGGCCCUGAGAAGGCUCUAGGUUAGAGGCCAGCACACACUCAGGUAUUUAAAGUGUCAUGUAACAUAGGUGGAACCAGAAGAUCACAGAACCGUGAAGCCCUUCUGGAGGUGGCACCAGGGCUCUGCCUUGCCAGGAUUUAUUGUCAAAUGUGUCUGAGCCUAAGAGAAGCUCAGACACCAUGGUGGCUGGGGAAGUGAAAGAGGAAAGAGCUAAUCUAAGAGUCACUGAGAAGGAAGUGCCUCAUCAAUACAGUGACUUAGUGACAAGUCACUCACAGGGAAGGAAGCUUGGGUGGUGGAGGAGUCAAAGUCAGAGAGACUGGAGACAGCCAUGACUGCUGCUGGCAGCAAAGAUGGCCAGGCAUUCUGAGUGGGAAGACAAAGAUGAUGAGUUUUGACACAUUGAAUUGGAAGCAAUGAGAAAAUAUAACAGAAAUACUCAGGCACUAUCUUAAGGGGAACUGGGAUUGCAGGGCUGGUGCUGGGGAGGGUAUGGGAAAGCCGUGGGAGAGAGGAAGAAGGUCUGUUUUCUCAGGUGACGGAGGUGCCACAGAACCAGUCUUUCACUCUUCUGCUUUCCUGGGGCCUUUUUGUGGUAAUUAAUGGGGAGAAAAAAAUCUCACAGCAGAA